rnacentral:rRNA from 1 species
GACGAACCGUGCGAACGUUGUUCGGAAUCACUGGGCUUAAAGGGCGCGUAGGCGGGCUCACAAGUCAGGGGUGAAAUCCCACGGCUCAACCGUGGAAGUGCCUUUGAUACUGUGGGGCUUGAGGGAGGUAGGGGCGUGCGGAACUUCCGGUGGAGCGGUGAAAUGCGCAGAUAUCGGGAGGAACACCGGUGGCGAAGGCGGUUCUCUGGGCCUUACCUGACGCUGAGGAGCGAAAGCGUGGGGAGCGAACAGG